rnacentral:rRNA from 1 species
GUGGAUUAGAUACCCUGGUAGUCCACGCCCUAAACGAUGCGAACUAGGUGUUGGGGAAGGAGACUUCUUUAGUACCGUAGCUAACGCGUGAAGUUCGCCGCCUGGGGAGUACGGUCGCAAGAUUAAAACUCAAAGGAAUUGACGGGGACCCGCACAAGCGGUGGAUGAUGUGGAUUAAUUCGAUGCAACGCGAAAAACCUUACCUACCCUUGACAUGCCAGGAACUUUCCAGAGAUGGAUUGGUGCUCGAAAGAGAGCCUGGACACAGGUGCUGCAUGGUUGUCGCCAACU